GAUGAACGCUGGCGGCGUGCCUAAUACAUGCAAGUCGAGCGAACAGACGAGGAGCUUGGUCCUCUGACUUUAUCGGCGGACGGGUGAUUAACACGUGUAUAACCUACCUAUAAGACUGGGAUAACUUCGGGAAACCGUGUCUAAUACCGGAUAAUUUAUUGACCCUCAUUGUGCCAUAGUUGAAUUCGGUUUUGCUUUCACUUAUAGAUGAAUCCGCGCCGCAUUAGCUAGUUGGUAAGGUAACGGCUUAGCAAGGCAACGAUUGGGAGCCGACCUGAGAGCGAGAAUGGACACCUUGGAACUGAGAAACGGCCCAGACUCCGACGGUAGGCAGCAGUAGAGAAUCCUACGCAAUGGGCGAAAGCCUGACGGAGCAAAGUCGCGUGAGUGCUGAACCUGCUCGGACGCGAAAACUAUGUUAUCCGGAAAGAACAAAUGUGUAAGUACCCAUGAACGUAAUGACGGUACCUAAUGAGAAAGCCACGGCUAACUCCGUG
rnacentral:rRNA from 1 species